rnacentral:rRNA from 1 species
UGGCUGUCGAUUCGCGCAUGUUGUGACAUGUUGGGUUUAGUCCCGCACCGAGCGCAACCCCUAUGCUUAUUUGCCAGCACUUAAUGGGGGGAACUUUAAGGACACCUGCCGGUGAUAAACCGGAGGAAGGUGGGGACAACUUCAAUUUAUCUUGGCCCUUACGAGUAGGGUUACCCACUUGGCUACAUUGGCAAAUACAAAGGGUUCUCAAAUCCUGCGAGGGGGAGCUAUUCUCAAAAAGCUCUUCGCACUCCGGGAUUGGAGUUUGCAAUUCGCAUUUCAUGAAAUCGAAAUCACUUAUUAACCGGGGAUAAGAUUGGCCACGGUGAAUUACUUUCCUGGGCUUUG